GACGAACCGUGCGAACGUUGUUCGGAUUCACUGGGCUUAAAGGGCGCGUAGGCGGGCGAGCGAGUCCGGGGUGAAAUCUUUCGGCUUAACCGGAAAAGGGCCUUGGAUACCGCUCGUCUCGAGGGAGGUAGGGGUAGGCGGAACUUCCGGUGGAGCGGUGAAAUGCGUUGAUAUCGGAAGGAACGCCGGUGGCGAAAGCGGCCUGCUGGACCUCUUCUGACGCUGAGGCGCGAAAGCCAGGGGAGCGAACGGG
rnacentral:rRNA from 1 species